rnacentral:rRNA from 1 species
AUACGGAGGGUGCAAGCGUUGUUCGGAAUCACUGGGCGUAAAGGGCGCGCAGGCGGUUUGGUAAGUCAGAUGUGAAAGCCCACGGCUCAACCGUGGAAGUGCAUUUGAAACUGUCAGACUUGAGUACCAGAGGGGAAAGUGGAAUUCCCGGUGUAGAGGUGAAAUGCGUAGAUAUCGGGAGGAAUACCGGUGGCGAAGGCGACUUUCUGGCUGGAUACUGACGCUGAGGCGCGAAAGCGUGGGGAGCAAACAGGAUUAGAAACCCUAGUAGUCC